rnacentral:rRNA from 1 species
GAUGAACGCUGGCGGCGUGCCUAAUACAUGCAAGUCGAGCGAACAGACGAGGAGCUUGCUCCUCUGACGUUAGCGGCGGACGGGUGAGUAACACGUGGAUAACCUACCUAUAAGACUGGGAUAACUUCGGGAAACCGGAGCUAAUACCGGAUAAUAUAUUGAACCGCAUGGUUCAAUAGUGAAAGACGGUUUUGCUGUCACUUAUAGAUGGAUCCGCGCCGCAUUAGCUAGUUGGUAAGGUAACGGCUUACCAAGGCAACGAUGCGUAGCCGACCUGAGUGGGUGAUCGGCCACACUGGAACUGAGACACGGUCCAGACUCCAACGAGAGGCAGCAGUAGGGAAUCUUCCGCAAUGGGCGAAAGCUUGACGGAGCAGCGCCGCGUGAGUGAUGAAGAUCUUCGGAUCGUAAAACUCUGUUAUUAGGGAAGAACAAAUGUGUAAGUAACUAUGCACGUCUUGACGGUACCUAAUCAGAAAGCCACGGCUAACUACGUG